UUAGCGGCGGACGGGUGAGUAACACGUGGGCAACCUGCCCCUUAGACUGGGAUAACUCCGGGAAACCGGAGCUAAUACCGGAUAAUCCCUUUCUCCACCUGGAGAGAGGGUGAAAGAUGGCUUCGGCUAUCACUAAGGGAUGGGCCCGCGGCGCAUUAGCUAGUUGGUAAGGUAACGGCUUACCAAGGCAACGAUGCGUAGCCGACCUGAGAGGGUGAUCGGCCACACUGGGACUGAGACACGGCCCAGACUCCUACGGGAGGCAGCAGUAGGGAAUCUUCCGCAAUGGACGAAAGUCUGACGGAGCAACGCCGCGUGAGUGAGGAAGGCCUUCGGGUCGUAAAGCUCUGUUGUGAGGGAAGAAGCGGUACCGUUCGAAUAGGGCGGUACCUUGACGGUACCUCACCAGAAAGCCACGGCUAACUACGUGCCAGCAGCCGCGGUAAUACGUAGGUGGCAAGCGUUGUCCGGAAUUAUUGGGCGUAAAGCGCGCGCAGGCGGCUUCUUAAGUCUGAUGUGAAAUCUCGGGGCUCAACCCCGAGCGGCCAUUGGAAACUGGGGAGCUUGAGUGCAGAAGAGGAGAGUGGAAUUCCACGUGUAGCGGUGAAAUGCGUAGAGAUGUGGAGGAACACCAGUGGCGAAGGCGACUCUCUGGUCUGUAACUGACGCUGAGGCGCGAAAGCGUGGGGAGCAAACAGGAUUAGAU
rnacentral:rRNA from 2 species